rnacentral:rRNA from 1 species
CACGUAGGGCGCGAGCGUUGUCCGGAAUUAUUGGGCGUAAAGAGCUCGUAGGCGGUGUGUCGCGUCGGCCGUGAAAACCUGCAGCUUAACUGUGGGCUUGCGGUCGAUACGGGCAUCACUGGAGUUCGGCAGGGGAGACUGGAAUUCCUGGUGUAGCGGUGAAAUGCGCAGAUAUCAGGAGGAACACCGGUGGCGAAGGCGGGUCUCUGGGCCGAUACUGACGCUGAGGAGCGAAAGCGUGGGGAGCGAACAGG